CCUACGGGUGGCAGCAGUGAGGAAUAUUGGUCAAUGGGCGGAAGCCUGAACCAGCCAAGUCGCGUGCAGGAUGACGGCCCUACGGGUUGUAAACUGCUUUUAUACGGGAAUAACGCGCCUUACGUGUAGGGCUUUGCAUGUACCGUAUGAAUAAGGACCGGCUAAUUCCGUUCCAGCCGCCGAGGUAAUACGGAAGGUACGGGCGUUAUCCGGAUUUAUUGGGUUUAAAGGGAGCGUAGGCCGCAUGUCAUGCGUGCAGUGAAAUGUCCGGGCUCAACCCGGGCAUUGCAGCGCGAACUGGCGUGCGUGAGUCCGCGGAAGGCAGGCGGAAUUCGUGGUGUAGGGGUGAAAUGCUUAGAUAUGACGAAGAACCCCGAUUGCGAAGGCAGCUUGCUGCAGCGGAACUGACGCUGAUGCUCGAAAGCGCGGGUAUCGAACAGGAUUAGAUACCCCUGUAGUC
rnacentral:rRNA from 1 species